AGAAUCAACGCUGGCGGCGUGCCUAACACAUGCAAGUCGAACGCGAAAGCCCCGCCAAGGGGCGAAGUAAAGUAGGCAAACGGGUGAGUAACACGUGGGUGACCUGCCUUCGAGUGGGGGAUAACGUCCCGAAAGGGACGCUAAUACCGCAUAACAUCCUGCCUUUUAAGAGGUGGACAUCAAAGCUGGGGACCGCAAGGCCUGGCGCUUGAAGAGGGGCCCGCGCCUGAUUAGCUAGUUGGUGGGGUAAUGGCUCACCAAGGCAACGAUCAGUA
rnacentral:rRNA from 1 species